rnacentral:lncRNA from 1 species
AGCAUUUUUAAUAUGUAUAGUACUUUUUUAUUUUGCUUUCUAUCUCUUCAGUAUUCAGUUUUGAUGUGGUUAUGGGUAAUAAUUGGGUUUGCAGUGGAGUGACUUCACAAAGGUGUGUUGUAUAUUAUUUUGCUUGUUUCUUUAAAAAUUCAAAAUUUGAAUGUUCACAACAUGAGGACCCAGUGUACUGGUGAAGGAAGGGGAAACUCAGUGACACGCAGGCCAUUGUGCCACGUGAUUCAAAGCCAAGGAGCAAUCAGCCAAAGGUAGCUACAUGGAAGAAGAAGACUUGGACAUGCCUGCUGUGUUGGUGCUGUCCUGCAGGUGGGAAAAAAAAGAAAACCAUUGUCAUCACUCCACAUCAUUCUUUCCAUGGACUUCAGUCAACACGGAAGAGAGGAAGCCAUGCUUUAACAGUGGAAAUCAUGCUGAGAUGGCAUCUUCUCUAGCAGUGCUGACCAGGGAGAUUGCAAAGACUGAGUCAACAGAAGAGAGCAGGAGUAGGAGAGUCUGAAACUGCAAACUGCAGCAAGCUGGAGCCUAACCCGGCAACACAGGGCGCAAGGCUGGAGGGGGA